UAAGCAUAUCAAUAAGCGGAGGAAAAGAAACUAACAAGGAUUCCCCUAGUAACUGCGAGUGAAGCGGGAAAAGCUCAAAUUUAAAAUCUGGCAGUAUUUUGCUGUCCGAAUUGUAAUCUAGAGAAGUGUUUUCUGUGCUGGACCGUGUACAAGUCCCCUGGAAUGGGGCUGUCAUAGAGGGUGAGAAUCCCGUCUUUGACACGGACUCCCAGUGCUCUGUGAUACACUCUCAAAGAGUCGAGUUGUUUGGGAAUGCAGCUCAAAAUGGGUGGUGAACUCCAUCUAAAGCUAAAUAUUGGCGAGAGACCGAUAGCGAACAAGUACCGUGAGGGAAAGAUGAAAAGCACUUUGGAAAGAGAGUGAAACAGUACGUGAAAUUGCUGAAAGGGAAACGCUUAAAGUCAGUCUUGUUUGCUAGGAUUCAGCCCCUUCCUGGGUGUACUUUCUAGUAAACAGGCCAACAUCACUUUUGGUCAUUGGAAAAGGGUAGUGGGAAUGUGGCACCCUUUCGGGGGUGUGUUAUAGACUGCUAUCAUAUACAGUGAUUGGGAGUGAGGACUGCCAUUGUAGGAUGUUGGCAUAAUGGCUUUAAACGACCCGUCUUGAAACACGGACCAAGGAGUCUAACAUGCCUGCAAGUGUUUGGGUGGUCAAACCCAUGCGCGUAAUGAAAGUAAAAGUUUGGGAAGGCUGUCAAAGGCCUGCACCGACACCCGGACCUGAGAUUUAUCGAUGGUUCUGCGGUAGAGCAUGUAUGUUAGGACCCGAAAGAUGGUGAACUAUGCCUGAAUAGGGUGAAGCCAGAGGAAACUCUGGUGGAGGCUCGUAGCGAUUCUGACGUGCAAAUCGAUCGUCAAAUUUGGGUAUAGGGGCGAAAGACUAAUCGAACCAUCUAGUAGCUGGUUCCUGCCGA
rnacentral:rRNA from 1 species